rnacentral:misc_RNA from 1 species
GUCGGCGACGUCGCGGUAGCGCCUGAGCGCGAGGAGCGCCCGCGCCCGGAGCUCCAGCGCCGCCUCGGCCCGCGGCGACAUCUCCAGGGCGACGGUCACCAGGCCGAGCGCCGCCGCCGCCGCGUCGUCCGCAUCCUCGGUGUCCUGCGCCGCCGCAGCGAGAGCCGCCCGCGCCUCGCCGAGGUACCUGUCGACCACCUGUCGCACAUCGCAAUCAACGCGUGGCCUUCCAACACUGAAACGAAAAUUUGUGGCGGAAAAGAACAACCAAGCCGUCCACGCAAACAGAAGGCAUCACGGAAGAGGACGAGGGUCCGUCCUCGAAUCACGAACGUCUCGCCAUCACGGAAGUGGAUCGAUCAGCAAGGCUGGCACUCCUCUCGGGAUUACAGAAGGCGAAACCGGGCAGGCAUGGACGGACGAGACGAGAGUAGAGGUGAGUGGGGG